rnacentral:tRNA from 1 species
GGAUUGUGGCUCAGAGGUAGAGCGCUCGCCUAGUAUGCGUGAGGCGCUGGCUUCAAUCCUAAGCACCA